rnacentral:lncRNA from 1 species
CACACACGAACACACCACACAUAUACGCCCAAUACACACAAACAUAUCGGAUCUCUCUCUCCCUCUAUCUUUACUGCCUUCUCCACCAGACACCACCAUCAAAUUCUGGUGAAGCCUCCAGCCACUGUCUCCCGCACUAUCAUAUUAUUCACCGGCAAACUUCCCACCGGCAAACCUCUGAGGUGCCCCUCCUCCAUCUUCUCUCUUUCUCCAUCGCCAAACACCAUAAACCACCAGAACCCUUCCCAACCACCUCCACAGCCAGCUGCCUUUAAGUUAAGCAAAACAGCGACGCUCGCCGUGAAAUAGCUUUACUAGCCUCCGCCCCUUCCUCUCUCUCGGUUGUGGACCAGCCCAUUACCACCACUAUAUCAUCUCUCUUUACCUUCAUUUUAAAAAAAAUUAUUUUGGUAGAUCUGUUUGUCGUUGCUCCAUUGAAAGUCGUUGAAGCAACACCACUCUGAUCACUUUUUUGUCUUGUUGUAUACGUUAAAUAUGAUUGUUGAGUUUUGUUUUAUAGAUCUGACUGGAGGUGAAUUUUUUGGCAAACCUCAUGAAUUCCAACGAAUGGUUUACUUUUUUAACUCUUCCUGUACAUUCAUAUUAUAUAUGCAUUAACCUACCAAGUGCACUAAAAUAUGUAUUAUUGUUUUUUUAGAUGCCUUACUGCUAAUGCAUUUAGCUUGUUUUGAUUUUCAUUAACAUUAUUUUGGAUUGUUUUGGCAUAGUUUUUAUAUAUUCUGGAUAGAGUUGCCACUGAUUUGCAUUUUUUGGGAAUUAAAUUUGGAUGAUUUUGACCUUUUUAUUUACUGCCUUUGAGGUUAUACUAAUAAUGAAUAAGAUAUUACUUGAUUGGCCAAUGAUAUUAUCUUUCCGUCGAAUUUUUGAGGCCAUACCAUUACAAGAAAUUGACUUUACUUUCUCAAAUUUUCUAUUUUAUAUCAAAGGCCGACACUUGGCUGAUGAAGAAAUUCUCCGUCGAUUUUUGAGGCCUUCAAAUAAAAAGACGGAUAUUACGUAUAUAAAUACGUAAUAAAAUAAAUAAAUUUGGGAAAUGAUGAAAUCUUUAUAAAUUUUUUAAAAACUUUAUCUGAGUUCACUUUUUUAAAAAAAUUAUAUUUUUAAAUAUAUAUAUGCACACAUACCUUUAUAAUUUAUUUUGUUAUUAUUUAUUUGUUACUAACAAUGCUAUUACAAGUGUUUAUAUAGGUUAUUGGGUAUACUCGUCGGGAAUGACAUUCAAAGAAGACCUUAAAUUUUGUGUUUGUAUUUUUAUAUUUUUAUACUUGUACAAAUAUUAUCAUAGUGAAAUUUUAUUUUUGGGGCAUUGAGCGGGGAUGUUCUUUAUUUAUACAAACUUCACCGCGCGUUUAGGAUAACUUAGGCCGUCAUUAUUUAUGCAAAAAAGAAUCAAAUUAAUUUAGGUAUUUAAUCAAACAAAAUUAAAAAUACUUUCUUUUAUGAAUUUCUUUUUAUAUCUCAAACAUAUUCUUAUGUACUUUGGUUACAUGUCUUUACAUUCUUUUACGUUCAUAUUUUUAUGAUGACAUAUGUAAUUUAUACACACUUUAAAUGUAGAUUAUUUUAAAAUGUAUUUUAUAUCUAUAUUUAUAAACAACGACUUUUUUUCUUGAUCUUUUAAUAAGCCUAAGUCUGGUCGGAAACCAUAUUUGUGGAUUCUGAAGGGUGCCUCUCUUCCCUUCGAAAUAAUUUGAACCCCUACUUGGAAUCUAAAAUGGUUUUGCAGAUUAAAUAAAGUCACACUUGGUAAAAUAUAAAUAGGUUUCCUAUUUUUCCUUAAAAAUUAGGUGGCGACUCUGUACAAAAUUAAUUCUUUUUUGAGUCCAUAAUGUUGUGCUCGUUUUGAACUUAAUUAAAAAUAGGGUGUGACAAGUAGAACUCUGGAUAUAGCAUUGAUGUAAAAGGGUUAGUUUGUG